rnacentral:rRNA from 1 species
AGUGAACGCUGGCGGUAGGCCUAACACAUGCAAGUCGAACGGCAGCACAGUAAGAGCUUGCUCUUACGGGUGGCGAGUGGCGGACGGGUGAGGAAUACAUCGGAAUCUACUUUUUCGUGGGGGAUAACGUAGGGAAACUUACGCUAAUACCGCAUACGACCUACGGGUGAAAGCAGGGGAUCUUCGGACCUUGCGCGAUUGAAUGAGCCGAUGUCGGAUUAGCUAGUUGGCGGGGUAAAGGCCCACCAAGGCGACGAUCCGUAGCUGGUCUGAGAGGAUGAUCGGCCACACUGGAACUGAGACACGGUCCAGACUCCUAGGGGGGGCAGCGGUGGGGAAUAUUGGACAAUGGGCGAAAGCCUGAGCCAGCCAUACCGCGUGGGUGAAGAAGGCCUUCGGGUGGUAAAGCCCUUUUGUUGGGAAAGAAAAGCAGCAGGUUAAUACCCCGCUGUUCUGACGGUACCCAAAGAAUAAGCACCGGCUAACUUCGU